GCAAGUCGAACGAGAUCUUCGGAUCUAGUGGCGCACGGGUGAGUAACGCGUGGCAACCUACCAUUCUGUACGGAAUAACGGUUGGAAACGGCCGCUAAUACCGUAUACGCCCUGUGGGGGAAAGGUCCGCCGCAGAAUGAGGGGUCCGCGUCCGAUUAGCUUGUUGGUGAGGGAAUGGCAGAAAAAGGCUGCGAUCGGUAGCUGGUCUGAGAGGAUGAUC
rnacentral:rRNA from 1 species